GACGAACGCUGGCGGCGUGCUUAACACAUGCAAGUCGAACGGAAAGGCUCCAGCUUGCUGGAGUACUCGAGUGGCGAACGGGUGAGUAACACGUGGGUAAUCUGCCCUGCACUCUGGGAUAAGCCUGGGAAACUGGGUCUAAUACUGGAUAUGACCUUUCUCCUUAUGGGGUUUGGUGGAAAGUUUUUCGGUGUAGGAUGAGCCCGCGGCCUAUCAGCUUGUUGGUGGGGUGAUGGCCUACCAAGGCGACGACGGGUAGCCGGCCUGAGAGGGUGAUCGGCCACAUUGGGACUGAGAUACGGCCCAGACUCCUACGGGAGGCAGCAGUAGGGAAUAUUGCACAAUGGGCGGAAGCCUGAUGCAGCGACGCCGCGUGAGGGAUGACGGCCUUCGGGUUGUAAACCUCUUUCAGCAGGGACGAAGCGUAAGUGACGGUACCUGCAGAAGAAGCACCGGCUAACUAUGUG
rnacentral:rRNA from 1 species